GAUGAACGCUGGCGGCGUGCCUAAUACAUGCAAGUCGAGCGAACGGACGAGAAGCUUGCUUCUCUGAUGUUAGCGGCGGACGGGUGAGUAACACGUGGAUAACCUACCUAUAAGACUGGGAUAACUUCGGGAAACCGUAGCUAAUACCGGAUAAUAUUUUGAACCGCAUGGUUCAAAAGUGAAAGACGGUCUUGCUGUCACUUAUAGAUGGAUCCGCGUUGCAUUAGCUAGUUGGUAAGGUAACGGCUUACCAAGGCAACGAUGCAUAGCCGACCUGAGAGGGUGAUCAGCCACACUGGAACUGAGACACGGUCCAGACUCCUACGGGAGGCAGCAGUAGGGAAUCUUCCGCAAUGGGCGAAAGCCUGACGGAGCAACGCCGCGUGAGUGAUGAAGGUCUUCGGAUCGUAAAACUCUGUUAUUAGGGAAGAACAUAUGUGUAAGUAACUGUGCACAUCUUGACGGUACCUAAUCAGAAAGCCACGGCUAACUACGUG
rnacentral:rRNA from 1 species